GACUUCAUGGUGCAACUGGUAGCACGCAAAGCAAAGAAUAAAUACGCUUUGAGAUUUAGAUUCGAUUCCUAAUGAGGUCC